AUUGAACGCUGGCGGCAGGCCUACACAUGCAAGUCGAACGAGUGGCGGACGGGUGAGUAAUGUCUGGGAAACUGCCCGAUGGAGGGGGAUAACUACUGGAAAAGGUAGCUAAUACCGCAUACCAUCGGAUGUGCCCAGAUGGGAGUAGCUAGUAGGUGGGGUAACGGCCCACCUAGGCGACGAUCCCUAGCGGGUUUGAGAGGGUGACGAGCCACACGGGGACUGAGACACGGUCCAGACUCCUACGGGAGGCAGCAGUUGGGAAUAUUGCACAAUGGGCGCAAGCCUGAUACAGCCAUGCCGCGGGUAUGAAGAAGGCCUUCGGGUUGUAAAGUACUUUCAGCGAGGAGGCGUUACUCGCAGAAGAAGCACCGGCUAACUCCGUGCCAGCAGCCGCGGUAAUUC
rnacentral:rRNA from 1 species